AUGAAUGAUGAUAGAUUACUUCAUUCUUCUCUGUUGUUGUUUUGUUUUCAGUUUGGCCACCACUCUCCUGGCUAUCCUACCUAUGUCAAUCAAACUAUUGGUGAACCCUACUCUAUGGCAGUUCAAACUUCCCUUGACCAAGUAUGCCUACUACUGAAUGACCUCCCUCUGCCAGCCAUCUGUUUUUUACAGGUCUCCCUGUUCACUAUGCUGCCAUUGUUACUGAAGGAUGGUCUGUUGGUGCCGUACGUGGUCACCUCCCUGGCCUUCCUGUUCGUCAGCGUAUACCUGCUUUUCCACCCUUGGAGCAUUGCUCAGAAGACGAGCUGCGUCUGGGGCCCUACCACCGCCCCAUCCGUAUGCCCAGCAUGGACCUCGGAAGGGUCACCAAGUGGAAAUUCUACAUCUCCAUCGUGGCCAUGGCUGGUUUGUGCUUUAUGA
rnacentral:lncRNA from 1 species